rnacentral:rRNA from 1 species
AUGAACGCUGGCGGCGUGCCUAAUACAUGCAAGUCGAGCGCACAGACGAGGAGCUUGCUCCUCUGACGUUAGCGGCGGACGGGUGAGUAGCACGUGGAUAACCUACCUAUAAGACUGGGAUAACUUCGGGAAACCGGAGCUAAUACCGGAUAAUAUAUUGAACCGCAUGGUUCAAUAGUGAAAGACGGUUUUGCUGUCACUUAUAGAUGGAUCCGCGCCGCAUUAGCUAGUUGGUAAGGUAACGGCUUACCAAGGCAACGAUGCGUAGCCGACCUGAGAGGGUGAUCGGCCACACUGGAACUGAGACACGGUCCAGACUCCUACGGGAGGCAGCAGUAGGGAAUCUUCCGCAAUGGGCGAAAGCCUGACGGAGCAACGCCGCGUGAGUGAUGAAGGUCUUCGGAUCGUAAAACUCUGUUAUUAGGGAAGAACAAAUGUGUAAGUAACUAUGCACGUCUUGACGGUACCUAAUCAGAAAGCCACGGCUAACUACGUG